GGUCCAGUGAGGCUUUGCAUGAGCUUGCUGUAGGAAUAAUGCUGAGUAGGACUGAAGUGUGGUUCCAUGUCACCGUCAAGGGUCCUGUGAAACUUUGCAUAUGUUUGCUGUAGGAAUAUUGCUGAGUUGGACUUAAAUAUGCUUCCAUGACCCUGAAAAGGAUGAGUAAUAUCCAGCUGGGAUGGCUAGGCCAAAGGCAAGAGCCUUGAACUUAAUCCAGGUCUCCAAAUGCGUAGGGACCCAAAUAGCUGAUUUAUCACCUGCUGCUUGUCACAGUACACAUCAUGAGGAUGCUGAAAUUGGGAGUGGAGCCAGGACUUGAACCCGGGCACUUGAUAGGUGA